CGAAACACUACCCGACAUCCAAAUUUUCCGCGUUACACUGUGUGAGUAGCGUUUUGCCAACUGAAGAACGAGUAAAAGCUACAAACAGUUAUAUAUACUUCGUCGCGCGUUCGUUGACUGGCGUACGGUAUUGAUCAAGCACGAACAUGUUCCAACAUGCAGGGCCAUUUAUAACUACUACCGCGCAUGUGCUUUCUUCAGUAAAUAACACGUUAGUUUUUCGUAAAUUUUUUAAGUUAAAAAUAACACAUUUGUUAUAAUUUUCUUUGUACGCUUCAAGGCAACGAUUCAUCAACUGAAGAAUACAUCUUGGACGAAAGUCAAUCGAAUGUUUGAAAUUUUGUGCUGACAUUGCAGAAAUAAACUUACAACGCUAUCUAUGAACAAAGAACAAAAUUAUGAAAUCGGUUAAAGCUCAGUUAAUUCAGAAGCAAUUCACUUUCACCCUAAACAAAAUACAAAAUAGACAUGAUAUCUUAUAAAAUAUAUUAUAUGUUCUGAAAUACCGACUUUUUGAUUAUAUUAAAAUAUUAAUAAUAUAAAAUUAUAAAAAAAUUUAUUCUAUAAUUUAUAUUUCAACUAUUUUAACUAUAAUGUUGCAAUCUCACAUAUUUUGAAUCAGUAACGUUAAAAAUAGUAAAAAUUUACUAAAAUAGUAAUUACUAGGGAAUUAUGUUUUCUAAACGUGAAACAAAAUAUCUACUAGAUGUCGAAUCAAUUAUAUAUCUAAUCUAUGACAAUAUUUGAAUCAUACAUAAGAUACUUUAAACAUAAGUUUUGCUAAUAUUAGAUAAAGAAUAUGUAUAUAUAUAUAUAUAUUUAUUAAAAAUUAUACUAUGAGCAUAAU